CCCCCCGGGCCCAGGGCGGCCGAUUGGCUCUCCAACUUCGCCCACUUCAACAAGUACCUGGAGAAGCUCUUCAACAGCAGCGUGAAGUCUAAGGACCCCAAGAAAUCGAAAAACGUUCAAAACCCCAAGAAUGCCGCGAACACCACAAAAAGUCCACCAGCAAACACCGUGAAACCGCUACCAGAGAAUACUAGGAAACCUCCCCAACAGAACACCGGGAAACCCUAACCACUGACCUCCUCCCAGGGCCCCAGAUGCCUGGCUCAAGUCUCCUCGCCCGCCGAGCCGCUUUAUAUUCCGCGAGGAGCCUUAAGUCCUACCUGCCCACCUCCCCCACCCCCAGUGAGAACAAUAAAGAGAAAUCUUUCUACGGC